UACAGAGGGUGCAAGCGUUAAUCGGAAUUACUGGGCGUAAAGCGCACGUAGGCGGUUUUUUAAGUCAGAUGUGAAAGCCCCGGGCUCAACCUGGGAAUUGCAUUUGAAACUGGGAAACUAGAGUGUGUGAGAGGGGGGUAGAAUUCCAAGUGUAGCGGUUAAAUGCGUAGAGAUUUGGAGGAAUACCAGUGGCGAAGGCGGCCCCCUGGCACAACACUGACGCUCAGGUGCGAAAGCGUGGGGAGCAAACAGG
rnacentral:rRNA from 1 species